rnacentral:rRNA from 1 species
UAGGGAAUCUUCCGCAAUGGACGAAAGUCUGACGGAGCGACGCCGCGUGAGCGAAGAAGGUCUUCGGAUCGUAAAGCUCUGUUGUUAGGGAAGAACAAGUACCGUUCGAAUAGGGCGGUACCUUGACGGUACCUAACGAGAAAGCCCCGGCUAACUACGUGCCAGCAGCCGCGGUAAUACGUAGGGGGCGAGCGUUGUCCGGAAGUAUUGGGCGUAAAGCGCGCGCAGGCGGUUCCUUAAGUCUGAUGUGAAAGCCCGCGGCUUAACCGCGGAGGGUCAUUGGAAACUGGGGAACUUGAGUGCAGAAGAGGAGAGUGGAAUUCCAUGUGUAGCGGUGAAAUGCGUAGAGAUAUGGAGGAACACCAGUGGCGAAGGCGGCUCUCUGGUCUGUAACUGACGCUGAGGCGCGAAAGCGUGGGGAGCAAACAGG